AUGGCGCUGGGGUUCACCAAAUUUGAUGUGGAGAAAUUCGAUGGCACAGGUAACUUCGGUCUAUGGCAGACAAGAGUCAAGGAUAUCCUGGCGCAGCAGGGAAUCUUGAAGGGUUUGCAGGAGCCGAAGUUGGCCAAGGUUGACAACGAUGCGUGGGAGGAUACGAAAGUGCAGGCGGCCGCUACCAUACGGCUUGGUCCCGCGGAUCGGGUCAUGUAUCAUGUCAUGGACAAAGAUCCUCCCAAGGGAAUUUGGUACAAGUUGGAAAAUCGUUAUGUGUCCAAGUCAGCGACCAACAAGCUGUAUUUGAAGCAAAAGUUCUAUGGGCUGAAGAUGUAGGAGGGGUUGGAUCUUGUGGAGCAUGUGAAUGCCUUUAAUCUAUUGGUCACGGAUCUAGCGCGUCUGGAUGUGAAGAUUGAUGAUGAGGAUAAGGAACUACUUCUUGUUUCAUUGCAACCAUCCUAUGAGCAUUUGGUCAUUACAUUGACACAUGGAAAGACAACCAUCAAUAAUGAGGAAGUCACUACAACAUUGCUUGGACCUAAGUUGAGGAAGCAAACGAAUGCUACAGAGGAGAGUACUCAAGGUUUGGGGUUGGCAGUUAAAGGUUAUCAACUCAGGAAGGGCCAAGAGGCGGAGAAGAAAAAAGAAGAAAAAGGUGCAGUGCUACAGGUGCAAGGACUGGGGAUAUGUAAAGAGGGAAUGCCCAGAACUGAAGGGUGGGUAAAGUUCUAA
rnacentral:rRNA from 1 species